AUUGAACGCUGGCGGCAGGCCUAACACAUGCAAGUCGAACGAGUGGCGGACGGGUGAGUAAUGUCUGGGAAACUGCCCGAUGGAGGGGGAUAACUACUGGAAACGGGAGCUAAUACCGCAUACCAUCGGAGGUGCCCAGAUGGGAUUAGCGAGUAGGGGGGGUAACGGCGCACCUAGGCGACGAUCCCUAGCUGGUCUGAGAGGAUGACCAGCCAAACUGGAACUGAGACACGGUCCAGACUCCUACGGGAGGCAGCAGUGGGGAAUAUUGCACAAUGGGCGCAAGCCUGAUGCAGCCAUGCCGCGUGUAUGAAGAAGGCCUUCGGGUUGUAAAGUACUUUCAGCGGGGAGGCGUUACUCGCAGAAGAAGCACCGGCUAACUCCGUGCCAGCAGCCGCGGUAAUAC
rnacentral:rRNA from 1 species